UUGGUGUGAAUUGCAGAAUUCAGUGAAUCAUCGAAUCUUUGAACGCACAUUGCGCCCUUUGGUAUUCCAAAGGGCAUGCCUGUUCGAGCGUCAUUUGUACCCUCAAGCUUUGCUUGGUGUUGGGCGUCUUGUCUCUAGCUUUGCUGGAGACUCGCCUUAAAGUAAUUGGCAGCCGGCCUACUGGUUUCGGAGCGCAGCACAAGUCGCACUCUCUAUCAGCAAAGGUCUAGCAUCCAUUAAGCCUUUUUUCAACUUUUGACCUCGGAUCAGGUAGGGAUACCCGCUGAACUUAAGCAUAUCAAUAAGCGGAGGA
rnacentral:rRNA from 1 species